rnacentral:tRNA from 1 species
GAGGGAAUGACUCAGUGGUAGAUUGCAUGCUUAGUAUGUAUGAGGUCCUGGGUUCAAUCCUCAGUACCUCCA